GAUGAACGCUGGCGGCGUGCCUAAUACAUGCAAGUCGAGCGAACAGACGAGGAGCUUGCUGCUCUGACGUUAGCGGCGGACGGGUGAGUAACACGUGGAUAACCUACCUAUAAGACUGGGAUAACUUCGGGAAACCGGAGCUAAUACCGUAUAAUAUAUUGAAGCGCAUGGUUCAAUAGUGAAAGACGGUUUUGCUGUCACUUAUAGAGGGAUCCGCGCCGCAUUAGCUAGUUGGUAAGGUAACGGCUUACCAAGGCAACGAUGCGUAGCCGACCUGAGAGGGUGAUAGGCCACCCUGGAACUGGGCCCCGGUCCAGACUCCUACGGGAGGCCGCAGUCGGGAACCUUCCGCAAUGGGCGAAAGCCUGACGGAGCAACGCCGAGUGAGUGAUGAAGGUCUUCGGAUCGUAAAACUCUGUUAUUAGGGAAGAACAAAUGUGUAAGUAACUAUGCACGUCUUGACGGUACCUAAUCAGAAAGCCACGGCUAACUACGUG
rnacentral:rRNA from 1 species